rnacentral:tRNA from 3 species
GGUGCCAUCGUCUAGUGGUUAGGACAACGGGUUUUCAUCCCGUAAACGGGAGUUCAAUUCUCCCUGGCACUACCA